rnacentral:rRNA from 1 species
UGGGGAAUUUUCCGCAAUGGGCGAAAGCCUGACGGAGCAAUACCACGUGAGGGAGGAAGGCUCUUGGGUUGUAAACCUCAAAACUUAGGGAAGAAAAAAAUGACGGUACCUAAUGUAAGCAUCGGCUAACUCCGUGCCAGCAGCCGCGGUAAUACGGAGGAUGCAAGCGUUAUCCGGAAUCAUUGGGCGUAAAGAGUCCGUAGGUGGCACUUCAAGUCUGCUUUCAAAGACCGAAGCUCAACUUCGGAAAGGGAGUGGAAACUGAAGAGCUAGAGUAUAGUAGGGGUAGAGGGAAUUCCUAGUGUAGCGGUGAAAUGCGUAGAGAUUAGGAAGAACACCAGUGGCGAAGGCGCUCUACUGGGCAUAUACUGACACUGAGGGACGAAAGCUAGGGGAGCGAAAGGGAUUAGAUACCCCUGUAGU